rnacentral:rRNA from 1 species
CCUACGGGGGGCAGCAGUGGGGAAUAUUGCACAAUGGGGGGAACCCUGAUGCAGCGACUCCUCGUGUGUUCUGAAGUACUUCGGUAUGUAAAGCCCUAUCAGCAGGGAAGAAAAUGACGGUACCUGACUAAGAAGCCCCGGCUAACUACGUGCCAGCAGCCGCGGUAAUACGUAGGGGGCAAGCGUUAUCCGGAUUUACUGGGUGUAAAGGGAGCGUAGACGGCAUAGCAAGUCUGAAGUGAAAGCCCAAGGCUCAACCAUGGGACUGCUUUGGAAACUGUUAAGCUAGAGUGCUGGAGAGGUAA